UUUAUAAAAUACCACAAUUCAGAUACGCAAAAUAACAUGUUUGCCUGAACCAUUUCAAUUCAACUCCAUACCCAACAAGCAUUACAUUAAGACUAGUCAUAUAUAUAUAUACAUGUCAUGAUACAUAUCAUUCUCUUUCUGUUUUCUUAUAAACACAUAUCAUUUAUUUCAUUAUAUCAAUAUUUCAUAUACCAUAGUUUCC
rnacentral:lncRNA from 1 species